rnacentral:rRNA from 1 species
GCCAGGGGCCUUAGGGCCGAAGCACAAGAGGAGGAAAAGUCACGCUAGUGCUCGCUUAGUACUUGGAUGGGAGACCGCCUGGGAAUACCUGGUGCUGUAGGCU